CGACCUCAGAGCAGAUGAGAUUACCCGCUGAAUUUAAGCAUAUUACUAAGCGGUGGAAAAGAAACUAACUAGGAUUCCCUUAGUAGCGGCGAGCGAACAGGGAAGAGCCCAGCACUAAAUUCCGCGGCCGGAGACGUACGCUGAAAAAUGUAGUGUUAGGGAGGAUCCGAUUAUCUAGGUGCGUUGCGGCGAGUUCAAGUCCAUCUUGAAUGGGGCCAUUUACCCAUAGAAGGUGCCAGGCCCGGAUCUCUCCUCAGAGUCUAGUUGCUUGAGAGUGCAGCUCUAAGUGAGUGGUAAACUCCAUCUAAAGCUAAAUAUGACCACGAGACCGAUAGCAAACAAGUACCGUGAGUAAAAGUUGUAAAGAACUUUGAAGAGAGAGUUCAAGAGUACGUGAAACCGUUCAGGCGGAAGAUUGAAAGAAGGGAUUCAAUGUUAUCGUCGUCUUCCAUUUAUUAGCGUGCGAUCGACCGGGAUUCGUCCUGCGAUACGCCGUCAGCUUAUGCGUCAGGCGGCGAUGGUAUGCACUUCUCUCUCAGUAGGACGCGACCCGUUUGGUGUCGAUCUACGACUGCGGCGGUAGCCUGUCACGAAUUUAUUCGCGUCAGACCCCGCGUGCUCCGGUCGACUGCCAGACGGUAUAAACGAUAUGGUAUAGGGUCGCUUUUAAGCGUUCGGCCGGUUGCAAGCACGGACGGACCUGGUCCGGCAUCAAUGCCGCCUCGAGCUGUUAGCUACCGUGUCCUCGGACGGACUCUAUUACCGGUCAGCGAUGCUAUUGCUUUGGGUACUUUCAGGACCCGUCUUGAAACACUGACCAAGGAGUCUAGCAUGUGCGCGAGUCAUUAGGAAAUACAAAACCUAAAGACGCAAUGAACGUAAAGAUUUGCUUAAGUAAACUGAGGGAUGACGGGCCGCAUCUACAGAUGCGUGCUUGCAAUCCCGGGGCGUCUCACUCUCAUUGCGAGAAGAGACGCACUCAGAGCGUAAACGCUAGGACCCGAAAGAUGGUAAAUUAUGCCCGGUCAGGUCGAAAUCAGGGAAAACCCUGAUGGAGGACCGUAGCGAUUCCGACGUGCAAAUCGAUCGUUGGAACUGGGUAUAGGGGCGAAAGACUAAUCGAACCAUCUGGUAGCUGGUUCCUUCCGAAGUUUCCCUCAGGAUAGCUGGCAUUCGAUAAGCGAGUCUCAUCCGAUAAAGCGAAUGAUUAGAGGCCUUGGAGCCGAAACGACCUCAACCUAUUCUCAAACUUUAAUGGGUGAGAUAUCUGGCUUGCUUGAAUAGUGAAGCCAUAGAUUUAGAUUAGAGUGCCUAGUGGGCUACUUUUGGUAAGCAGAACUGGCGCUGUGGGAUAAACCAAACGCCGAGUUAAGGCGCCUAAACAACGCUAAUGGGAUACCAUGAAAGGCGUUGGUUGCUUAAGACAGCAGGACGGUGGCCAUGAAAGUUGGAAUCCGCUAAGGAGUGUGUAACAACUCACCUGCCAAAGCAACUAGCCCUGAAAAUGGAUGGCGCUGAACAGUUGUGCCUAUACUCGGCCGCCAGGGCAUGAUAAGCGUUCAUAAUAGUUUGUUUUGACGCCCUGGUGAGUAGCCGUUGCACACGAGUCAGUCGAUCCUAAGCCCCAGGAGAAAUCCUAUGUUGAUGUUGGUGUAUUUUAUUUUAAAUAAAAUUUCACACCCAUCGGGCGAAAGGGAAUCCGGUUCCUAUUCCGAAACCCGGCAGCGGAACCGUUUACAAGUCGGGCCCUCGUAAGAGAGUUCGUCGGGGUAUCCCAAAAUGACUUGAAGACGCCUUCGGGAAAUACGGGGAGAGUUUUCUUUUCUGUAUGAGCGUUCGAGUUCCCUGGAAUCCUCUAGAAGGAAAAUAGGGUUUGAAACGCGAAGAGCACCGCUGUUGCGGCGGUGUUUGUAUCUUCUCCUCGGACCUUGAAAAUCCAGGAGAGGGCCACGGUAGGUGUAGCGCUGGUUUGUACCCAUAUCCACAGCAGGUCUCCAAGGUAAAGAGCCUCUAGUCGAUAGAUAAAAGUAGGUAAGGGAAGUCGGCAAAUUGGAUCCGUAACUUUGGGAUAAGGAUUGGCUCUGAGUAUCGGGGCGUGCCGGGCUUGGUUGGGAAGCGGGCGUAGGCCGAUGUUCCGGGCCUGGGCGAGGUGAAACUGUCCUUGUGACUUAGAUCCGAGCUUGAUCCCGUGCCUAGGCCCCCCGCGAAUUUUUCUUUUUGCGAGGUUUCUGUGCCGGCUUCGGUCGGUCAGACGUACUCUUCAGCCGCCAUUCAACGGUCAGCUCAGAACUGGCACGGACUAGGGGAAUUCGACUGUCUAAUUAAAACAAAGCAUUGCGAUGGCCCUAGCGGGUGUUGACGCAAUGUGAUUUCUGCCUAGUGCUCUGAAUGUCAACGUGAAGAAAUUCAAGCAAGCGCGGGUAAACGGCGGGAGUAACUAUGACUCUAAUCUGCUAUUGUGAUUGACACACAAAUCGUUGGGAGCAACGUAGACAUGGAUUUAGCUCAUAAACGCAAGAUAGAGCAUUAUAAAAGUUUGGACGCCCAGAUAAAAGAGAAGUACAACGCAUCUGAAGUGAUAUAUAGUACUGUUACCUUAAAUAACAGAGGCGUGUGGCACAUGGACCCUGCAAACUUUCUGCUGUCAGGCAAAAUUAUUAAGAAAGAUGAUUUAAAGAUUAUUUCUACAAGAGUUUUGAUCGGAGGACUCAACGGUUUCAGCGCUUGGACCAAAACAACGUCCUUGAGACGCCAGGGGAUAGGGUAGAAUGAAACCUGGAAUACAGCGUGCUGCCUGCGCACAACAUACCGUCAGGCAUAAUACUAGGAGUUAGGUUUAGUGGGUAUUGCCUUCGGGCCUAAUCCCACACUACCUGGUCAACCUGGCGACCGGUGCCAAGGGAACGGGCUUGAAAAAAAUAGCGGGAAAAGAAGACCCUGUUGAGCUUGACUCUAGUCAUUGUAAGGAGACAUGAAAGGUGUAGCAUAAGUGGGAGAUAGUAAUAUCGUCUGUGAAAUACCACUACUUUCAUCGUUUCUUUACUCACUCGAUUGGGCGGAAAGCGUGCGUCGAGAACUUGCGUUCCGACUGUCACGGUUUUCUAGAGCCAACCGCAUAAGAGUGGUGUGAGGCAUUGCGCCGAUCGCCAACAAUAUUCUAGCGUGAUCCGAUUCGAGGAAACUGCAAGGUGGGAGUUUGACUGGAACGGUACAUCUGUCAAAUAAUAACGUAGUGUCCUAUGGCCAUCCCAGCGAAGACAGAAACCUCGCGUAAAGCAAAAGGGCAAAUACUGGCUUAAUCCCGUUGUUCAGUGUGCACAGGGACUGAGAAAGCAUGGCCUUUUGGCUGGAAGAGCUUUCAGCAAGAGGUGUCAGAAAAGUUAUCACAGGAAUAACUGGCUUGUGACAGCCAAGCGUUCAUAGCGACGUUGCUUUUUGAUCUUUCGAUGUCGGCUCUUCCUAUCAUUGCGAAGCAGAAUUCGCCAAGCGUUGGAUUGUUCACCCACAAAUAGGGAACGUGAGCUGGGUUUAGACCGUCGUGAGACAGGUUAGUUUUAUCCCACUGAUGAAACGUCGUUGCGAUAGUAAUCCUGCUCAGUACGAGAGGAUCCGCAGGUUCGGACAUUUGGUUGACGCACUCGGUCGAGCGGCCGGUGGUGCAAAGCUACCAUCCGUGGGAUUAUGCCUGAACGCCUCUAAGGCCGUAUCCUUUCUAGACAAAGUAAGCAACGAUAUCUCUAGGAGUCUCUAGCAACGAUAUCUAGUGAGUCGAAAGGCUCAAUACAAUGUAAUUUAUUAGGUAUUCGGCACACACCGUUUAUUGCACGAGCCGUUUUUAGCUGAAUGAGGCGCUGGACAGUGGCGGUAUCCGUCCGUUAUAUUUGUCUUGCCUAUAGCGGUCGAUCAUGGGUCACUAGUUCGAUGUAGAGAUUCGGAAUCGUUUGUAAACGACUUAGGUACCUGGCGGGGUGUUGUACUCGGCAGAGCAGUUACCACGCUGCGAUCCGUUAAGACUCUCCUUGGCUUGGGGAUUCGU